UACGUAGGGGGCGAGCGUUAUCCGGAUUUACUGGGCGUAAAGCGCGUGUAGGCGGUUGCGUAAGUUAGUUGUGAAAUCCCUCGGCUUAACCGAGGAACUGCAGCUAAUACUGCGCGGCUCGAGUGGCAGAGAGGAAAGUGGAAUUCCCGGUGUAGUAGUGAAAUGCGUAGAUAUCGGGAGGAACACCAGUGGCGAAGGCGACUUUCUGGCUACUAACUGACGCUGAGACGCGAAAGCUAGGGGAGCGAACGGG
rnacentral:rRNA from 1 species